UACGAAGGGGGCUAGCGUUGCUCGGAAUCACUGGGCGUAAAGCGCACGUAGGCGGGUCGUUAAGUCGGGGGUGAAAUCCUGGAGCUCAACUCCAGAACUGCCUUCGAUACUGGCGACCUUGAGUCCGGGAGAGGUGAGUGGAACUCCGAGUGUAGAGGUGAAAUUCGUAGAUAUUCGGAAGAACACCAGUGGCGAAGGCGGCUCACUGGCCCGGUACUGACGCUGAGGGGCGAAAGCGUGGGGAGCAAACAGG
rnacentral:rRNA from 1 species